AGCCAUAUCACAAUGAAACACCAGUUCUCAUCAGAUCCUCAAAGUUAAGCAAUGUUGAGCUUGGUCAGUAUUCAGAUGGGUGACUGCUGGGGAACACCAAGUGUUGUAAG